rnacentral:rRNA from 1 species
CACGUAGGGUGCGAGCGUUGUCCGGAAUUAUUGGGCGUAAAGAGCUCGUAGGCGGUCUGUCGCGUCGGCUGUGAAAACUCAGGGCUUAACCCUGAGCCUGCUUCCGAUACGGGCAGACUAGAGGUAUGCAGGGGAGAACGGAAUUCCUGGUGUAGCGGUGAAAUGCGCAGAUAUCAGGAGGAACACCGGUGGCGAAGGCGGUUCUCUGGGCAUUACCUGACGCUGAGGAGCGAAAGUGUGGGGAGCGAACAGG